rnacentral:rRNA from 1 species
GACGAACGCCUGGCGGCCGCCGCCUCAACACAUGCAAGUCGAACGAGUGAACGACGGAGCUUGCUUCUUCAAAUCGAGUGGCGAAACGGGUCGAGUAACGCGUGAGGAACCUGCCUCAAAGAGGGGGACAACAGUUCGGAAAACGACUCGCUAAUACCGCAUAAGCCCACGGCUCGGCAUUCGAGCAGAGGGAAAAGGAGCAAUCCGCUUUUGAGAAGGCCUCGCGUCCGAAUUAAGCUAGUUGGUGAGGUAACGGCCCACCAAGGCGAACGAAUCGGUAGCCGGAACUGAGAGGUUGAAACGGCCACAUUGGGACUGAGACACGGCCCAGAACUCCUACGGGAGGCAGCAGUGGGGAAUAUUGCACAAUGGGGGAAAACCCUGAUGCAGCGACGCCGCGUGGAGGAAGAAGGUCUUCGGAUUGUAAACUCCUGUUGUUGAGGAAGAUAAUGACGGUACUCAACAAGGAAGUGACGGCUAACUACGUGCCAGCAGCCGCGGUAAAACGUAGGUCACAAGCGUUGUCCGGAAUUACUGGGUGUAAAGGGAGCGCAGGCGGGAGAACAAGUUGGAAGUGAAAUCCAUGGGCUCAACCCAUGAACUGCUUUCAAAACUGUUUUUCUUGAGUAGUGCAGAGGUAGGCGGAAUUCCCGGUGUAGCGGUGGAAUGCGUAGAUAUCGGGAGGAACACCAGUGGCGAAGGCGGCCUACUGGGCACCAACUGACGCUGAGGCUCGAAAGUGUGGGUAGCAAACAGGAUUAGAUACCCUGGUAGUCCACACCGUAAACGAUGAUUACUAGGUGUUGGAGGAUUGACCCCUUCAGUGCCGCAGUUAACACAAUAAGUAAUCCACCUGGGGAGUACGACCGCAAGGUUGAAACUCAAAGGAAUUGACGGGGGCCCGCACAAGCAGUGGAGUAUGUGGUUUAAUUCGACGCAACGCGAAGAACCUUACCAAGUCUUGACAUCCCUUGACGAUGCUGGAAACAGUAUUUCUCUUCGGAGCAAGGAGACAGGUGGUGCAUGGUUGUCGUCAGCUCGUGUCGUGAGAUGUUGGGUUAAGUCCCGCAACGAGCGCAACCCUUAUGGUCAGUUACUACGCAAGAGGACUCUGGCCAGACUGCCGUUGACAAAACGGAGGAAGGUGGGGAUGACGUCAAAUCAUCAUGCCCUUUAUGACUUGGGCUACACACGUACUACAAUGGCGUUAAACAAAGAGAAGCAAGACCGCGAGGUGGAGCAAAACUCAGAAACAACGUCCCAGUUCGGACUGCAGGCUGCAACUCGCCUGCACGAAGUCGGAAUUGCUAGUAAUCGUGGAUCAGCAUGCCACGGUGAAUACGUUCCCGGGCCU